rnacentral:misc_RNA from 1 species
AAGACUAUAGACCUGCGGAGUACCUGCGGAAGGAUCAUUAUCGUAUUGUAACAAUUGGGGGGGCCACCGUGGGCUGUCGCUGACCCUUUGAAAGGGGGGUCGUGCACGCCCCCAUAGUGUCAUCCUCAUACAAUCCAACUCACCUCUGUGCAUCACCGCGUGGGUUCCUUUCUGGGUCGAGUCAGACUGGCUCAGAAAAAAGGGGCUUGCGUUUUCCAUACAAAUACCCUUAUACAUCCA